UACGUAGGGUGCAAGCGUUAAUCGGAAUUACUGGGCGUAAAGCGUGCGCAGGCGGUUUUGUAAGUCUGUCGUGAAAGCCCCGGGCUCAACCUGGGAAUUGCGUUGGAGACUGCAAGGCUAGAAUCUGGCAGAGGGGGGUAGAAUUCCACGUGUAGCAGUGAAAUGCGUAGAGAUGUGGAGGAACACCGAUGGCGAAGGCAGCCCCCUGGGAUAACACUGACGCUCAUGCACGAAAGCGUGGGGAGCAAACAGG
rnacentral:rRNA from 1 species